CAGGGGGCGACUCCUCGAGCGAGCGCGGUUUUGGAUUUGAGUUUGACAAAUUAGGUGCAAACGCCGAGUGAAACUCGCACGGGAAGUCCGGAACCUGGCAGGACAGGGAAAAAGAGAAGCAGGCAGAUCACCAUAAUUCGGCUUCGGCCGAGAGUGCCAGCACCUAGCGAUCUCAAGAUCAGACAAAAGCCAGAGGUGAAUCGCGUGGAAGAGCACCACGAUUUCGGUCGGCAGAAACCGUCUACGGUUUGAGCAGUCAGUCAGGAUACAGACAGGACGAAAGCACCCCAUCGUUUGGGGUGUUUCUGGAGUAUCAAAACUGUUGAACGAUUUCGGACGGAAAUCUCGUCAUCGACGACGAGCUCAGCAAGGGCCUCGGAGAGAUCCCAUCCAGCAAAACGGUCGCACUGGACGGCCAGAGGGGUCUCCAGCGGAGGCAGCAACCUUGUGAGUGGCGCGGCGAGCUUUUGGCAGAAUGCGUGGGUGGUGCGGCGAUAGUCGUCCGUCCGCGACAAGGAUCGGUACGGUAGGGGGACGCCCCAUGUAGCCGCUUCCGAAUGCGAACAAGGGCACCGUGAGUACGGAGAAGAAACCGUGAGUAAGAAAACUGAGGUGUUUUGUAAAGUAGGAAGAUAGAGAAAGAGGAGUGAAAAGGAAAGAAGAUAAGAUGACUAGGAGGUAGGAAGUAACAGAGGAAAAUGGGUGCAUUACCCUA